GCCUGUUUGGCUCAGUGGAUUAGAGCAUCAGCCUGUGGACUGAGGGGUCCCAGGUUCAAUUCCUGUCAAGGGCA
rnacentral:tRNA from 1 species